UACGAAGGGGGCGAGCGUUGUUCGGAAUUACUGGGCGUAAAGGGCUCGUAGGCGGCCAACUAAGUCAGACGUGAAAUCCCUCGGCUUAACCGGGGAACUGCGUCUGAUACUGGAUGGCUUGAGUUUGGGAGAGGGAUGCGGAAUUCCAGGUGUAGCGGUGAAAUUCGUAGAUAUUAGGAAGAACACCAGUGGCGAAGGCGGCUCACUGGCCCGGUACUGACGCUGAGGCGCGAAAGCGUGGGGAGCAAACAGG
rnacentral:rRNA from 1 species